GAAGACGGAUAAGAUUAUAAAAAAAAUCAAUUCUAAAAACUAAUCUAAAUAAAAUAAAUAACAAUCAAAAUAAUAAGGAUUGAAUCUAAAAUGCAAAAAAAAAAAAAAAUGAUUGAGGAUAAAAUAAAAUAAAACUCAAUUCUAUAAAUUAAUUCAAAUAAAAAAAUCAAUUAAAAGAACAAAAACCAAAUCUCAAGGAAAAAAAA
rnacentral:lncRNA from 1 species